rnacentral:rRNA from 1 species
GUUUGGGAGGAGUUUACGAACUCCAAGUGGUGAAGGAUAGUGCCAAGAAAAGCUGGCUAUGUGAUGAAGAUAGAACACCCGUACCCGAAACCGACACAGGUAGGGAGGUUGAGAAUACCAAGGGGCGCGAGAUAACUCUCUCUAAGGAACUCGGCAAAAUGGCCCCGUAACUUCGGGAGAAGGGGUGCCCACCUCAGACGUGGGUCGCAGUGAAGAGAUCCAGGCGACUGUUUACCAAAAACACAGGUCUCCGCCAACUCGCAAGAGGACGUAUGGGGGCUGACGCCUGCCCAGUGCCGGAAGGUUAAGGAAGCUGGUCAGCGAAAGUAAAGCUGGCGACUGAAGCCCCGGUGAACGGCGGCCGUAACUAUAACGGUCCUAAGGUAGCGAAAUUCCUUGUCGGGUAAGUUCCGACCCGCACGAAAGGCGUAACGAUCUGGAUGGUGUCUCAGAGAGAGACUCGGCGAAAUAGGAAUGUCUGUGAAGAUACGGACUGCCUGCACCUGGACAGAAAGACCCUAUGAAGCUUUACUGUAGCCUGGAAUUGUGUUCGGGCUUCGCUUGCGCAGGAUAGGUGGGAAGCGGUGAACUAUUCCUUUUGGGGAAUAGGGAGCUAACGGUGAGAUACCACUCUGGCGAAGCUAGAAUUCUAACCCACGACCGUCAGCCGGUUGGGGAACAGUUUCAGGUGGGCAGUUUGACUGGGGCGGUCGCCUCCUAAAAAGUAACGGAGGCGCGCAAAAGUUCCCUCAGCACGCUUGGAAACCGUGCGACGAGUGUAAAAGCAAAAGGGAGCUUGACUGCAAGACUGACAAGUCGAGCAGGUACGAAAGUAGGCUUUAGUGAUCCGACGGCGCAGAGUGGAAUGGCCGUCGCUCAACGGAUAAAAGUUACUCUAGGGAUAACAGGCUGGUCUCCCCCAAGAGUCCACAUCGACGGGGAGGUUUGGCACCUCGAUGUCGGCUCAUCGCAACCUGGGGCGGAAGUACGUCCCAAGGGUUGGGCUGUUCGCCCAUUAAAGCGGUACGUGAGCUGGGUUCAGAACGUCGUGAGACAGUUCGGUCCAUAUCCGGUGCAGGCGCGAGAGUAUUGAGAGGAGUCCUCCUUAGUACGAGAGGACCGGGAGGAACGCACCGCUGGUGUACCAGUUAUUGUACCAACAGUAAACGCUGGGUAGCCAAGUGCGGAGAGGAUAACCGCUGAAAGCAUCUAAGUGGGAAGCCCACCUCAAGAUGAGUACUCUCACUACAAAAAGUAGGUAAGGUCACGGGCAGAACACCCGUUAAUAGGCUCUAAGUGGAAGUGCAGUAAUGUAUGAAGCUGAGGAGUACUAAUAGACCGAGGGC